UGUGGAAUAAACAUCCUGGGCUGUGAGCGUCCACACUGUGAGCCCUGAGAGGGCAGGGCUCUGCCCUUGUUCAUGAUUCUGUAGAUGACCACCGGUCAAGUGCUUGUCGAGGCCAGGGGAUAUACCAGGAAAUACGACGUAGCGUGUGCCAUCAUCGAAUGCAGUGUAACAUAGUGCAACAGAAAUGCAAUCAAGCCAUUGCGGGACAGUGUGGUUGCAACAAUAAAAGACCCUGAUGCUGGGAAAAAUUGACGGCAGGAGAAGGGAGCAACAGAGGAUGAGAUGGUUGGAUAGCAUUAUCAACUCAACAGACAGUCACUUCUUGAUGGCUGCCACUUGUAUCACAGCCAGACCUCGGAGGACCACCCUUUGAAAGCAGACAGGGCAAAUUCCUGGCCGGUCAAAUCAUUAGGUAGAAAUUUCCAUGGGUUCCCGUUUCCUGAGCCUGAAAAAGUGGCAAGAGCACUAGUUUCUGUUUUGAUUUGUUUUGCUUUCCCUGGAAGAUAACUCAAACAUAUCUUCUUUAGUAGACUGCUGCCAACAAACCAAAUCCCACCAUGCAUAUUCUUGGCUUCAUUAAUUUUUUUCCCAUUUAUUAAAAUAAUAUU